rnacentral:rRNA from 1 species
AACGAACGCUGGCGGCAUGCCUAACACAUGCAAGUCGAACGAGACCUUCGGGUCUAGUGGCGCACGGGUGCGUAACGCGUGGGAACCUGCCUUUAGGUUCGGAAUAACUCAGAGAAAUUUGAGCUAAUACCGGAUGAUGUCUUCGGACCAAAGAUUUAUCGCCUUUAGAUGGGCCCGCGUAAGAUUAGCUAGUUGGUGGGGUAAAGCCUACCAAGGCGACGAUCUUUAGCUGGUCUGAGAGGAUGAUCAGCCACACUGGGACUGAGACACGGCCCAGACUCCUACGGGAGGCAGCAGUGGGGAAUAUUGGACAAUGGGCGAAAGCCUGAUCCAGCAAUGCCGCGUGAGUGAUGAAGGCCUUAGGGUUGUAAAGCUCUUUUACCCGAGAUGAUAAUGACAGUAUCGGGAGAAU